ACGUACUUCUUCAUAUGCCCAUA
rnacentral:miRNA from 17 species